rnacentral:tRNA from 1 species
UAUUUAUAUAAUAUAAAUUAUUAUAUUUGACUUCCAAUCAAAAAAUCUAAAUUUUAGUAUAAAUAA